CUGUGAUGGUAGUAGUGUUUGCGCUUAGGGAAAAAAUAACCUAAGGCAGGGAAACCUGACGGCAUCUAUUUAAUCUAAGGGUAACUAUGAUUAAAUGGAUAUAAAGUGCCACAGUGACGAUACUAUUUAGAAAUAAAUAGGGUGAAACGGGUAAACCCCACAAGCGAGAAACCCAAAUUAUGGUAGGGGAACUAUCUUAGGAGAACUAGAAUCUGAGGAUGGAUAGCAUAGCUAUAGAUAAAUGUUUGUCGCCUUUUGGUACAGAAUGUGGCUUAUAA
rnacentral:RNase_P_RNA from 1 species